rnacentral:rRNA from 1 species
AGAGACAGCAGUAGCCGCGGUAAUACGAAGGGGGCUAGCGUUGUUCGGAAUUACUGGGCGUAAAGCGCACGUAGGCGGAUAUUUAAGUCAGGGGUGAAAUCCCGCAGCUCAACUGCGGAACUGCCUUUGAUACUGGGUAUCUUGAGUAUGGAAGAGGUUAGUGGAAUUGCGAGUGUAGAGGUGAAAUUCGUAGAUAUUCGCAGGAACACCAGUGGCGAAGGCGGCUAACUGGUCCAUAACUGACGCUGAGGUGCGAAAGCGUGGGGAGCAAACAGGAUUAGAUACCCCAGUAGUCCCUGUCUCUUAUAC